AAAACAUCUUUUCUUGAUAAUUAUUUGAAAUUUGACCUGCCCAAUGAUUGUUUUAAUGGCCGCGGUAUAUUGACCGUGCAAAGGUAGCAUAAUCAUUAGUCUUUUAAUUGAGGGCUUGUAUGAAUGGUUGGACGAAAUAUUAACUGUCUUUUAAAUAAUAUUAUAAUUUUAAUUUUUAGUUAAAAUGCUAAAAUUUUUUUAUGGGACGAGAAGACCCUAUAGAUCUUUAUUAUUUUAUGUUUUUAUUAAUUUUGGUUUUAUGUUUUAUUAAUUUGUUUGAUUAUUUUGUUGGGGUGACAUGGGGAUAUAUAUAACUCUUUAUUAUUAUUUACAUUUAUUUAUGUUUAAUUGACCUUUUAUUAUUGUUAUAAGAUUUAGAUACCUUAGGGAUAACAGCGUAAUUUUAUUUGAGAGUUCAUAUCGACAAUGAAGAUUGCGACCUCG
rnacentral:rRNA from 1 species